AAUCAACGCUGGCGGCGUGCCUCAGACAUGCAAGUCGAACGCGAAAGUUUCCUUCGGGAGAUGAGUAGAGUGGCGCACGGGUGAGUAACACGUGAGUAAUUUACCUUCGGGUGGGGAAUACUAACCGGAAACGGUUGUUAAUACCGCAUAAUGCAGCGGCAUCAAUGAUGACAGUUGUUAAAGCGGGGGAUUGGAGCAAUCCGACCUCGCGCCUGAAGAGAAGCUCGCGGCAGAUUAGCUAGUUGGUAAGGUAAUGGCUUACCAAGGCGACGAUCUGUAACCGGCCUGAGAGGGCGGGUCGGUCACACUGACACUGAAUAACGGGUCAGACUCCUACGGGAGGCAGCAGUCGGGAAUUUUGGGCAAUGGGCGCAAGCCUGACCC
rnacentral:rRNA from 1 species